UUUAUGGAGAGUUUGAUCCUGGCUCAGGAUGAACGCUGGCGGCGUGCCUAAUACAUGCAAGUCGAGCGAACGGACGAGAAGCUUGCUUCUCUGAUGUUAGCGGCGGACGGGUGAGUAACACGUGGAUAACCUACCUAUAAGACUGGGAUAACUUCGGGAAACCGGAGCUAAUACCGGAUAAUAUUUUGAACCGCAUGGUUCAAA
rnacentral:rRNA from 1 species